rnacentral:rRNA from 1 species
CCUACGGGAGGCAGCAGUGGGGAAUCUUGCGCAAUGGGCGAAAGCCUGACGCAGCAACGCCGCGUGCGGGAAGAAGGCCUUCGGGUUGUAAACCGCUUUCAGCAGGAACGAAAAUGACGGUACCUGCAGAAGAAGGUGCGGCCAACUAUGUGCCAGCAGCCGCGGUGAUACAUAGGCACCAAGCGUUGUCCGGAUUUAUUGGGCGUAAAGAGCUCGUAGGCGGUUCAGUCAGUCGGGUGUGAAAACUCUGGGCUUAACCCAGAGCCUGCACCCGAUACUGCUGUGACUAGAGUUCGGUAGGGGAGCGGGGAAUUCCUGGUGUAGCGGUGAAAUGCGCAGAUAUCAGGAGGAACACCGAUGGCGAAGGCACCGCUCUGGGCCGAAACUGACGCUGAGGAGCGAAAGCAUGGGUAGCAAACAGGAUUAGAUACCCUGGUAGUCCAUGCCGUAAACGUUGGGCACUAGGUGUGGGUUCCAAUCAACGGAAUCCGCGCCGUCGCUAACGCAUUAAGUGCCCCGCUGGGGAUACGGUCGCAAGCAAAACUUAANGAAUUGACGG